GCACCGAGCAAAAGCAGUUAAUUAUUUAAAAAUAGUGUAAUGCAGUGAAUUUGAAAUGCUUCAAAAGUUGAAAGAAGAAAUAAAGUGAUACAAUCAUGGAAGCCGUGCGUCAAGGAUUUCAACUACAGCUAGAUUCAACCAGAAACCGUCCUAUCAAGAUGACCAAAAGCUAUGAAACUAUUACCAUCGUCUUCGUCUUGGAAACAGCUUCGCGUGGGCAUCUUGCACAUCUCAAUCGGAGUCCGAAUGAGGGAGUUAUGGCGAUUUUACAGAAGUCGUGCAGAACUGGCGAGGGAGUCCAGAGAGAACACUCGGGCGGGUGUUUUGCACCCUGCAAUUCACCCGACCGGGUGAAUCACCCGAGACUUAGUUUUUGAGGGCCUUUUUCCACAUUUUGGGCCCUUAGUAUAAAUACCUUUUGGUGUCAUUUUUCAUUCUAGAUUAAGAUUGUGAUUGAAGUUAUCUCCCUAGUGAGUUUUUCCUCUUUGAGGAAUGUAUCCAA